UACGGGGGGGGCAAGCGUUGUUCGGAAUUACUGGGCGUAAAGGGCUCUUAGGCGGCCAACUAAGUCGGAUGUGAAAUCCCCAGGCUUAACCUGGGAACUGCAUCCGAUACUGGAUGGCUUGAAUCCGGGAGAGGGAUGCAGAAUUCCAGGUGUAGCGGUGAAAUUCGUAGAUAUCGAGAGGAACACCGGUGGCGAAGGCGGCGAUCUGGACGAUGACUGACGCUGAGACGCGAAAGCGUGGGGAGCAAACAGG
rnacentral:rRNA from 1 species